UAUAGACAAGGUAAUGGAAUCUACCUGAUCCUUUCUAUGGAUCGAACCGCCCUUUAGGCUGAUGACUCCUGCUCAAAC
rnacentral:ncRNA from 16 species